rnacentral:lncRNA from 1 species
UCAACUUUCUUUUCCCCUGGAUUUUUCUCCAUCGUCUUUCUUUUGUAUUGACUUUUUUUCCAUGUUAAAUGCUAACUGACACCCACUCUCUACUCAAUGUUUCUUCAUUUUUCUUCUAUUAUUGGAUUGAUAGAAAGUUAACUUGCUCCACCUUCUUUUGCAACUCUGCCACGAUUCAUGAAACCCACCUUAUCUUAUUUGCUAUCUCUUUUUUUUUUUUUUUCAUUUUCUCGUAUUUAUGUUUAAUGUUUGUGUCGGAGGUAUAUUUUGGUAUACCAGCUUUCAACACAUUUAUUGAUUUUGUCAACGUAUAGUCUUUUGUUGUUGUAAAAAUUAUAUCAUUCUCUUAAAAUUGAAUUUUCUUUUUAAACCCGAAAUACAUUUAUCAAACAUUU